GGGCACAUGGUGUAGUUGGUUAUCACGUCCGCUUUGCAUUACCCUGGUUUGCGGAAGGUGUUGGGUUCAAUUCCCAAUGUGUCCA